AUUGAACGCUGGCGGCAGGCCUAACACAUGCAAGUCGAACGAGUGGCGGACGGGUGAGUAAUGUCUGGGAAACUGCCUGAUUGAGGGGGAUAACUACUGGAAACGGUAGCUAAUACCGCAUACCAUCAGAUGUGCCCAGAUGGGAUUAGCUAGUAGGUGGGGUAACGGCUCACCAAGGCGACGAUCCCUAGCUGGUCUGAGCGGAUGACCAGACACAAUGGAACUGAGACACGGUCCAGACACCUGCGGGAGGAAGCAGUGGGGAAGAAUGAAAAAUGGGCGCAAGCCUGAUGCAGCCAUGCCGCGUGAAUGAAGAAGGCCUUCGGGUUGUAAAGUACUGUCAGCGAGGAGGCGUUACCCGCAGAAGAAGCACAGGCUAACUCCGUGCCAGCAGCCGCGGUAAUUA
rnacentral:rRNA from 1 species